UCUGUCAUAGAUCAUCUAUUUAACAGGAUUGCCACUCUGACUGAAAUGUUUUUCAUUCAAGCCUUAAAAAAGAAAAUAAUCAUUUUUCUAAAUGAAUUUUUCAGAGGGCCAGACUGAAGUCCCCUGCGGGUUGCAAGUGGCCCGUGGGCCACCAGCUGAAUAUGCCCGACGUAUAAUCAAAAAAUGAUGCAUUUGUGUGAAUUACUCUAAACUGUUCGGAUUUUUUUGCAGAAACAACCAAUCCACUUCGGUGAAGGUUUGAACUAGCCUUGAGCUCAUCAGUGAGACCAGAGUUAAAGUAUGUUCAACAGCUGCAGCUCUGUCCUCACCUGUGUGAGCGUCCCGAUGGAAAGACCCCAGCUCUGUGUUGUUGAGCAGCGACGGCACAAGUUUACGCUCAAGUCAUUCCCACAGGAUGGUGACAGAAGUGCCACACUUCCACUAAUAACCUGUCAACAGGCCAGAAGAGUAGAUGUGGCAUCAAUAUGUCUGCUCUGAAAACAGGGCCAGAUGGACAGUUGUUGGGGGCUUUACCUAGAGGUUGACUGAGAAAAAGGUGGGCCUGGCUGAAAARGUGUGUGAAAUUUAACCCAACUUGUAAAAUGCUUGGACAGUGAAACUUUGUUCACUUGUUGUCUACAACAGUUACUGAUCUAUUAUAUUGUUAUAACUGCUAUCUCUAGCUUAUAUUUGUCUGAAAUUUAAAA